GUAGGGAAUUUUCGGCAAUGGACGAAAGUCUGACCGAGCAAUGCCGCGUGAACGAAGAAGUAUUUCGGUAUGUAAAGUUCUUUUAUUAGGGACGAAAAAACAAAUUGACGGUACCUAAUGAAUAAGCUCCGGCUAACUACGUGCCAGCAGCCGCGGUAAUACGUAGGGAGCGAGCGUUAUCCGGAAUUAUUGGGCGUAAAGGGUGCGUAGAUGGCACAUUAAGUUUUCUGUAAAAAUGCUAGGCUCAACCUAGUAGGGCAGAAAAUACUGAUGAGCUAGAGUACGACAGAGGCAAGUGGAACUCCAUGUGUAGCGGUAAAAUGCGUAAAUAUAUGGAAGAACACCAGUGGCGAAGGCGGCUUGCUAGGUCGAUACUGACAUUGAGGCACGAAAGCGUGGGGAGCAAACAGGAUUAGAAACCCUAGUAGUCC
rnacentral:rRNA from 1 species